rnacentral:rRNA from 1 species
UACGUAGGUGGCAAGCGUUGUCCGGAUUUACUGGGCGUAAAGAGCGCGCAGGCGGUUGUGCAAGUCGCGUGUGAAAGCCCCCGGCUCAACUGGGGAGGGUCACGCGAUACUGUUCGACUUGAAGGCAGGAGAGGGAAGUGGAAUUCCCGGUGUAGUGGUGAAAUGCGUAGAUAUCAAGAGGAACACCUGAGGUGAAGACGGGUUGCUGGGCCGACACUGACGCUGAGUGCGCGAAAGCCAGGGGAGCAAACGGG